GAAGAGAAGAACAUAAGGGGCAGUGAAGCGAAGGGGUGAUGUUGAAAAGCCCAGGCUCUGAGGGAGCUGGAGGAGGAAGACAAGGAACACAGCGGCCUGAAAAGGGAGGAAGAAGAAAGUGGAGGCAUCUGGCCAGCAGGUGUGCGCUCUGUGGGUUCACCCAGGUCCUCACACAGACAGCUAUCUGAGGGGCUGCAAGGGAGGAAAAGCAGGGGGCGAAGUCAGCAAGGCUGAAAGAGAAAAAAACCCGCCAAAGCCCACAGCACUCCAGACUCGGAUGGGAACUAAACCACUUCUCCAUCCUGCUGACCAUAAACUGUGUGACCUGUCAGCCUGCAGAAUCACAUGAGCCAAUGAACUCCUCAGCAAAAACCUUGAAUCUCAUUGGUUUUGUUUCUCCGGAGAUCCUGGAUGUAUCUGCUGCUAUGUGUAUGUAUAUGUAUAUGCUGCUAUGUGCUAUCAUCUACAGGGGCGUAACGCCUCUACUGGUCUCAGGAGACAAGACCUUCAAGUAACACAUGGUACCCUUGUAGGUUUUCUUCGGUUACUGCUAACCCUCAAAGCAAACAGUCUAAGAAGAGCUUUCUUUCUCAGAAAAGCUAUCCUUAGUAUCUCUUAGA
ensembl:processed_transcript Gm20616 predicted gene 20616